UAUGCAUGAUUAGAUGCUAGAGUGAAGCAAAAUGAUUGAUGCAUGACAAUGAUUCAUGUGAUGAUUUAAAUGCUUUUAACUGGUGGCCCUAUGGUGAGCAAUGGAAUGGUUAAGACUUAGAGAGGUUGAUUGUGUAACAAGGUUGUUUGUUAAAAGGUGGUAGGGUAUUAUAUCAACAUGACUUCCCGAUAAUCAUUUCGAACUUGACGAUUG
rnacentral:lncRNA from 1 species